rnacentral:rRNA from 1 species
CACUUCGGUGGUACUCGAGCGGCGAACGGGUGAGUAACACGUGAGUAAUCUGCCCUCCACUUUGGGAUAGCCACCGGAAACGGUGAUUAAUACCGGAUAUGACCACGCGUCGCAUGGUGUGUGGUGGAAAGUUUUUCGGUGGGGGAUGUGCUCGCGGCCUAUCAGCUUGAUGGUGGGGUAAUGGCCUACCAUGGCUUCGACGGGUAGCCGGCCUGAGAGGGUGACCGGCCACACUGGGACUGAGACACGGCCCAGACUCCUACGGGAGGCAGCAGUGGGGAAUAUUGGACAAUGGGCGGAAGCCUGAUCCAGCAACGCCGCGUGAGGGAUGACGGCCUUCGGGUUGUAAACCUCUUUCAGCACAGACGAAGCGAAAGUGACGGUAUGUGCAGAAGAAGCACCGGCCAACUACGUGCCAGCAGCCGCGGUAAUACGUAGGGUGCGAGCGUUGUCCGGAAUUAUUGGGCGUAAAGGGCUCGUAGGCGGUUUGUCGCGUCGGGAGUGAAAACACACAGCUUAACUGUGUGCUGGCUUCCGAUACGGGCAGACUAGAGGUAUGCAGGGGAGAACGGAAUUCCUGGUGUAGCGGUGAAAUGCGCAGAUAUCAGGAGGAACACCGGUGGCGAAGGCGGUUCUCUGGGCAUUACCUGACGCUGAGGAGCGAAAGUGUGGGGAGCGAACAGGAUUAGAUACCCUGGUAGUCCACACCGUAAACGUUGGGCGCUAGGUGUGGGGCCUAU